rnacentral:rRNA from 1 species
AAUACCGGAUGAAGUGAUGGGACGUUGGUUUUAUCAUGAAAGACUGCCGAUCCAAGGAAGCAGUUGUUUGGGGAUGAGUUUGCGGACCAUUAGCUGGUUGGUGGGGUAAUGGCCCACCAAGGCGAUGAUGGUUAGCUGGUCUGAGAGGAUGAUCAGCCACACUGGAACUGGAACACGGUCCAGACUCCUACGGGAGGCAGCAGUGUGGGAUUUUGCGCAAUGGGGGGAACCCUGACGCAGCAACGCCGCGUGAGUGAAGAAGGCCUUUGGGUCGUAAAGCUCUGUCAAUCGGGAAGAAGUUAUUUAGGUCGAACAGGCGUAAGUAUUGACGGUACCGAUGAAGGAAGCAUCGGCUAACCCCGUGCCAGCAGCCGCGGUAAUACGGGGGAUGCAAGCGUUAUUCGGAAUU